UACGGAGGGUGCAAGCGUUAUCCGGAUUCACUGGGUUUAAAGGGUGCGUAGGCGGGUUGGUAAGUCCGUGGUGAAAUCCCCAAGCUUAACUUGGGAACUGCCGUGGAUACUAUCAAUCUUGAAUAUCGUGGAGGUAAGCGGAAUAUGUCAUGUAGCGGUGAAAUGCUUAGAUAUGACAUAGAACACCAAUUGCGUAGGCAGCUUGCUACACGAUCAUUGACGCUGAGGCACGAAAGCGUGGGGAGCAAACAGG
rnacentral:rRNA from 1 species